CAGCAAGGGAGCCAGGAACCCAGUGUCCUAUGCGGAAGGGUAAAAAGGGAGACGGGUGUGCAAGCUGGGCAUGGACGGUGAGGCCAGCCGCAGAGAAGCACCUGUAUGGCACAGGGACAGGUAGCUGGUUUGGAACGGGCUAAAUAGGACAGGUGACAGAAACCCGGAGAAAGGCGGCUGGAUUCUAAAGAGAAGGAUAAAGAAGGAAAUGGCAUAGUCCGUCUGGGCAGUCCUUUCUAGAUGGAAGAAACACACAGUUUCUGUAAGAGAGAGCAGGAGAAAGAUGACGGGAAGAUGAGUCAAUGGCACUCUUUUUGGAGUCGCCGCAAUUUGGAUGACUCAGUCUCACAUGUCUGGAUUCUUAAGGAUCCUUGGGCUCUACUGAUCUGGGGGACGCCACUGGACCUGAAGGCUGCACUAGGCCUCUGGUUCUCCUUUCUGCCUUAACGUUGUGUGGCUUUAUUAUCCGAAACGCUGAAUGAGAAGCAAUGCAGAAAGGCAGCAGUGAUGUACCCGAACACUGCCCAGACUGCUGACAGGAAGAGGCCGCUCUACUCUGCUCACAGAGACGGUGGGGAGAAAUGGGUCCAGCCGGGCUCUGGUCUUCCUUCCCCAUAAGCACCACACCCUUGUGUCUAAACCAUCCCGGCUCCUUGCUUCCACCCACCAGGGGAGGCAGUUGUACGUGUUUCGGCUGCCAUCUUGAAAAAGCAAGGCUUCCAGUCAAAUCUUGACGAAGUUCGAGAUGUAAAAGAUAAAAUGAAGCCCUGUGAUUGAAGCAAGGGCGAGGACUCCAGAAUCUGCUUCCCUUCUCCCUCACGCCUGGGAGGAGGCUGCAGGGAACACUCAGUGGAGUGUGGUGUGAAAACCACUCACCAACAUUUAUGUCAUGGCUAUGGCAGUUGCCUUGACGGUUGGUACCACAAUCCCAAUAGCCCGUUCCCUCAAAUAGUGACAGAUCACUUUUCUCCCACUGAGAAACCUGGAACCCCCUUGGGACCUCCCUUGGAAUGUCUGCUUUUGGUCUUAAGAGAAAGGAUCUCGGCUCGUUGGCGAAGAACUGACAUUUUCUGAGCUCGGCAAGGUAUUGAUGCCAUUAGUGGGUCUGUUUAGCAAGCCACCUGCUUCCCUGAGUUCUCUCUGAUGACUUAGUCAGGUGGGUGUCACAUCUCAAGCAUGUAGCGAAUAUAAUGGCUGUAAGUUCCACCAAUGAAGAGAUGCUUCGUAACCACUUGAUGUGGAUCUCUCCUGCCGCUGGAUGUGACCCAGAUGCAAGAGGCAUAUGGGGUGAGGAACCCCAUUUGUCUCCUGCCCAUGUAGCGGGGAAUGGUCGACUAUGAAGAAUUGUUCGUUUGGAUGUGUUGCUGUGUGUAGGGCCUCCCUUAGGGCCUCUGCGAUACCUUCAGCGAAGAUUCCUAUCACUUCACAGGUUUUACAGGUUUAGACUUCCUUUUCUUCUGUGUAUACGUAUAAGGCUGACCUAGGGGUUGGCAAAACCGUAUCCAGAUAAAUCAUUCGGAGGUGAAAUGUAUUUUAUCUCUUUAAGAAA